AUUGAACGCUGGCGGCAUGCUUUACACAUGCAAGUCGAACGGCAGCGCGGGCUUCGGCCUGGCGGCGAGUGGCGAACGGGUGAGUAAUGCAUCGGAACGUGCCCAGUAGUGGGGGAUAGCCCGGCGAAAGCCGGAUUAAUACCGCAUACGACCUGAGGGUGAAAGCGGGGGACCGAAAGGCCUCGCGCUAUUGGAGCGGCCGAUGUCGGAUUAGCUAGUUGGUGGGGUAAAGGCUUACCAAGGCGACGAUCCGUAGCUGGUCUGAGAGGACGACCAGCCACACUGGGACUGAGACACGGCCCAGACUCCUACGGGAGGCAGCAGUGGGGAAAUUUGGACAAUGGGGGCAACCCUGAUCCAGCCAUGCCGCGUGCGGGAAGAAGGCCUUCGGGUUGUAAACCGCUUUUGUUCGGGAAGAAAUCCUCUGGGCUAAUACCCCGGGGGGAUGACGGUACCGGAAGAAUAAGCACCGGCUAACUACGUG
rnacentral:rRNA from 1 species